UACAGAGGGGGCAAGCGUUGUCCGGAUUUAUUGGGCGUAAAGAGCGUGUAGGCGGCUUUACAGGUCCGUUGUGAAAACUCGAGGCUCAACCUCGAGACGCCGGUGGAACCGUAAGGCUAGAGACUGGUAGAGGCGAGCGGAAUUCCUGGUGUAGCGGUGGAAUGCGUAGAUAUCAGGAAGAACACCGGUGGCGAAGGCGGCUCGCUGGGCCAGUUCUGACACUCAUCCGCGAAAGCGUGGGAGCAAACAGG
rnacentral:rRNA from 1 species